GCGCCUGUGGCGGAAUUGGCAGACGCGCUGGACUUAGAAUCCAGUGGGCAACCGUGCAGGUUCAAGUCCUGUCAGGCGCACCA
rnacentral:tRNA from 1 species